UCUGCCUGGUAUUGGGGGAUAACGUUCGGAAACGGACGCUAAUACCGCAUACGUCCUACGGGAGAAAGCAGGGGACCUUCGGGCCUUGCGCUAUCAUAUGAGCCUAGGUCGGAUUAGCUAGUUGGUGAGGUAAUGGCUCACCAAGGCGACGAUCCGUAACUGGUCUGAGAGGAUGAUCAGUCACACUGGAACUGAGACACGGUCCAGACUCCUACGGGAGGCAGCAGUGGGGAAUAUUGGACAAUGGGCGAAAGCCUGAUCCAGCCAUGCCGCGUGUGUGAAGAAUGUCUUCGGAUUGUAAAGCACUUUAAGUUGGGAGGAAGGGCAGUAAAUUAAUACUUUGCUGUUUUGACGUUACCGACAGAAUAAGCACCGGCUAACUCUGUGCCAUCAGCCGCGGUAAUACAGAGGGUGCAAGCGUUAAUCGGAAUUACUGGUCGUAAAGCGCGCGUAGGUGGUUCGUUAAGUUGGAUGUGAAAUCCCCGG
rnacentral:rRNA from 1 species